CAUCACCGGUUACACUGUGCUGUUGAGCCCCAAAAGGGCGAAACAGCUGUCCGCAGUUGCUGUUGUUAGGGCUU
rnacentral:sRNA from 1 species